GACGAACGCUGGCGGCAGGCCUAACACAUGCAAGUCGAACGAGUGGCGGACGGGUGAGUAUGUCUGGGAAACUGCCCGAUGGAGGGGGAUAAAUACUGGGAACGGGAGCUAAUACCGCAUACCAUUGGAUGUGGCCAAAUGGGAUUAGCUAGUAGGUGGGGUAACGGCCCACCUAGGCGACGAUCCCUAGCUGGUCUGAGAGGAUGACCAGCCACACUGGAACUGAGACACGGUCCAGACUCCUACGGGAGGCAGCAGUGAGGAAUAUUGCACAAUGGGCGCAAUCCUGAUGCAGCCAUGCCGCGUGUAUGAAGAAGGCCUUCGGGUUGUAAAGUACUUUCAGCGAGGAGGCGUUACUCGCAGAAGAAGCACCGGCUAACUCCGUGCCAGCAGCCGCGGUAAUAC
rnacentral:rRNA from 1 species